rnacentral:rRNA from 1 species
CACGUAGGGCGCAAGCGUUGUCCGGAAUUAUUGGGCGUAAAGAGCUCGUAGGCGGUCUGUUGCGUCUGCUGUGAAAACUCGGGGCUUAACCCCGAGCCUGCAGUGGAUACGGGCAGACUAGAGGUAGGUAGGGGAGAAUGGAAUUCCCGGUGUAGCGGUGAAAUGCGCAGAUAUCGGGAGGAACACCGGUGGCGAAGGCGGAUCUCUGGACAGUUCCUGACGCUGAGGCGCGAAGGCCAGGGGAGCAAACGGG